UACGUAGGGUGCAAGCGUUGUCCGGAAUUAUUGGGCGUAAAGGGCUCGUAGGCGGUUCGUCGCGUCGGCUGUGAAAACCCGGAGCUCAACUCCGGGCCUGCAGUCGAUACGGGCGGACUUGAGUGUUGCAGGGGAGACUGGAAUUCCUGGUGUAGCGGUGAAAUGCGCAGAUAUCAGGAGGAACACCGGUGGCGAAGGCGGGUCUCUGGGCAACUACUGACGCUGAGGAAGCGAAAGGCGUGGGGAGCGAACAGGAUUAG
rnacentral:rRNA from 1 species